GAUGAACGCUGGCGGCGUGCCUAAUACAUGCAAGUCGAGCGAACAGACUAGUCGCUUGCUCCUCUGACGUUAGCGGCGGACGGGUGAUUAACACGUGGAUAACCUACCUGUAAGAAUUGGAUAACUUCGGGAAAACGGCGCUAAUACCGGAUAAUAUAUUAAACCGCAUGGUUCAAUAGUGAACGGCGGUUUUGCUGUCACUUAUAGAUGGAUCCGCGCCGCAUUAGCUAGUUGGGAAGGUAACGGCCUACCAAGGCAACGAUGCGUAGCCGACCGGAGAGGGGGAUCGGCCACAUGGGAACGGGGACAGGGUCCAGACGCCUACGGGAGGCAGCAGUAGGGAAUCGGACGCAAUGGGCGAAAGCAUGACGGAGCAAGGGGGCGUGAGAGAUGACGGUCUUCGGAUCGGAAAACUCGGUUAUGAGGGAAGAACAAAUUUGUAAGGAAAUAUGGACGUAGUGACGGUACCUAAUCAGAAAGCCACGGCUAACUACGUG
rnacentral:rRNA from 1 species